CCCCAGGACCGAGGUUGGGAAACACUGCUUUAGAGCAUAUGAAAUGCAAACAGAAGAUAAAAAGGACUCAAGAAUCCUGUAUUGUUUGAAGACAAUACAGUUGCGAGUUCAGGCCCAGGAGAGAGGCCUAGUCUGCCCUUCACUAAUUCCGAUGCCCAUCUUGAUACAGUGACUUUGGAAUAAGAAAAGAGGGAGAAAAUCAAAAUGGAGCUGAAAGAGCCUCCUCCGAUCUAGAGCAUUCAUUACUCUUAAGACUUCAGUCCACCUUUGGAAUCUGACAAUUGACCAAUGCCUUUUUGAACUUCUCUUUUGCGCUGCACUUGUGGAGCCGUGUGCCCAUAUCUGAGGAAUUUAAAUCAUUUCAUCAUCAGUUCUUCAGCAAGUAGGAUGUCCUUAGGACCCUGGCAAUCCCCCUUAAUGAGGCUCCUGCUGUGGAGAACGUGGAGUACAGAGUUAAACUCACCGUUUGAUUUAAAUGAGUCAAGUUGACGUCAUUUGCAGAAUUGAAAAGUAGCCAAGUAGCUAAUUUUACUCCUGCUGUUGAAGAAUCUAAGUUUUAAAAUUGUAAAAUGUGGUCUCCUUUUUAAGUCUAACUUGCAACUGUGUUGGUUGAAGUAUUUUGCAGGUGAGCGUUAUGCAUAUUAUGUACUGUAUGAAGACUUAUAGACCUAGAAAUGAGCUUGAAAGUGAGGUAGGGUACUGUAGUUUUUAGUUGUAGCUGGAGAAAUAACUAAAUAAAAACUAGCAUAAAUCUGCAAUACUGGAAAAAAUGUGCUUUUAUGAAUAAAGACGUGAUAUACAAUAAUCCAACAAGAAAGUUGUGCUUCCGGAAUUAACAGUUCCAUGGGAAGAUUGUUUGGAUGAUGCCUUCGAAAGAAAGUUCUCUAAGUGCGUGGGUCUGGUCAGAAUCUGUCAGUAGUCGGGAUGGAGAGCUAGGUUUCUCCCAGUGGAGGUCGGGUGCAGGGGAUUUGCGUCCCAUUCUUUGGUUAGAGCCUUUAGCAGUUUGGGCAUCAAAGAGAGGGGAAGAAGAAAGCCAUCCAGAGCACCAUCGAAGCGGCAGAGAAAGUCUCAUAAUGGCUGUGGCUCAGAAGAGGAGAGACAUGGUGUCAGAGUAGCUAGCCUCCUGGACACAUGCUGGGGUCUGACCAACUCCAGUGGGGUCACCUGGAGGAGAAUGUAUGAUGUUGAAAGACCCGAAACACUGGAUGAUCUCAGGAACAUUACUGAUGAAAUGUCCAGACUGAAGCAUCAGCAGAUAUAGAUUCACAGCAUUGAGUUAUAUAUAAUGUUGGAUAAAGUAUUUCAGGUAAUUGAUUCCUACUAAUCAGCUGUAUAGUUAAAACUUUUGUGUCAUCUGAAAAGAUAUAUCUGAUAGAUUCAGAUGUUAUGGCACAAAUAUGAAGCAAUAAACUAUCAUGGCUAAAAAGGGAAGCUCUUGAUUAGAAUCUUUAGAAGUUUCUUGUUUCACCCUCACCCUUUCCCAAGAGUUUGUCUCAGUCAUUAUAAAAUGAUAAUGGGAGCAGCAAAUGAAGACAAUCACUAGACCCUCACUGUAAGUUAAUAUUUCAUUUAUUGCAGUAAAUUUCCCAAUGAAUUUCAAAGUAAAAUUUUGGCAUGGUAUACAUAAAAAGGGCCUUUCGUUAUAGUGAAUCAUAUACUAGUGCAAAAUUAAAGAAGUAUGUUCAAGACAGAAUGGAAUGUGAGAUGUGUUCUUUUCACACUUUGGAGGGAAAAUCUGGAAGAUACUUUUAAGUCAAGUAGUUGAAGCAGAAACUCCUUGAAAAUGUUUCAAU